ACCCUCUCUUCCUUUUGGGCUUCCUUCCCUGUUACGCUCCCGUGAUGGCGGGUGAAAGUGGGGAGGGGGGCGAGGGACAUACACACACCUCUCUCAGCGCGUGGCACCUCAGGGACCAGUGCACCCACUUUCUCUCCGUGGGAGAGCCAGGCAGCCCCCUCCCCCAUCCCCUGCCAAGUGCCGAACCGCUUCUGGUGGUGACGGGUUCAGGCGCCUACGCCGCAGGGGGGAGGGUUCAGAGCGAUGUGUCGCUGCUGGUGCCGGCGGUGGCGUCCUGGAUGACGUUGCAUCGGAGUGGCCCGCGACAGCGAGGCAGAUCUGUAUCCAUCCACAUGAUGGGCAGAGCGUCAUCGUGACCCGAGCGUCUCCCACCCGGCCCGGCCCUCACACCGCCCACUGGUGUGGGUGGGGUGCCCGAGCGCCACCGCGAGGGGGAUGCGCCCGGUGGCGGCCGGCAUGGUGGGCGCGGCUGCGCGGCGCCCCGCGAAGCAUGGGCUGUGGGCGUGGGUGGGGGCCGUGCUCUCCGAUGGCUGGGUCGGCGCGUUGCUGUGGCGCGUGUGUGUCUACGGCUGCCAUCGGCCCACGCGAGGUUGGGUCUGUGACAGGGGUCGGAGGGAGAGGGGGUGGCAGUGGAGGGGCGGUUGGACGUCACGUUGUGCGGCAGCGAAAUGGGCACCGGCCAACGAAAUGCUGUUGGUAGUGUUUGAUGUGCUGUGCUCUAGCGGCCCCCACCCUCUGCCCCGCAUUCAUCUUCCGCCUCUUGGAUUGUGAGUGUUGUGGAGGGUAGCGAUGAUGACAUGCGUAUCGGCUGUGUGUGCUUUGUGCCGUAGGCUGCGCUCUCUGCUCAUUUUUAUGAUUGCUCCGACGAUGAGUAUGUUGCGUCCCCCCUGCCGUUCAAGCUGCAUCUCUGUUCCGCCGUCUACGCACGUGUGAUUCUCUGCAGGUGUCGGCGCCUGUGUGUGUUUGAGUUUUGAGAGUGUCGCACUCAACUUGCCGCCUCUCUUCCUCUCUCCCCACGACCGCCCUUCGCCACUUUACUGGCGUAUGACGACGACUACUUGUAUCGCAUCUCUCUGUGACUCUGUCUCUGUGCGGAUCCGUCGACCGUGAGAGAAUGUGUUUCUGGGCUUUCAUUCUUUUUGUUGUGCUAAUGUGCACAUGAGUCCACGUGUGCAUGGAUGCGUGCUCUGCUUUGGUGUGCGCGCCUGGGUGGUGGUGGCAGUUACCACACGGACUGCCACACCACCCUUCUCACACCGAACACAUGCGCGCGUUCUGUGUGUGUGUGUGUGUGUGCAUGUUUGCGCCCAAAGCCGCCUCAUCAUCUUGAACAACGAAUGCUUCCUGAGAAGGACCAUCAAAGUACGUUUCGCGUUGCCAUCGGCGCCGCCUUUACCACGAUGAAGUGGGCGAAGCACAAGGGCAAAUGCCUGGGGAGAGUGCUGGUGAGUCUCUCUGACUUCUCGACUCCAUCGCGUUGAUGUCCUGGCUUGUCUGCUCCGUCAAGCAAGCACGGAGCAUGCGUACGCACAGCUCCGUCAACAGUGGACGCGCGCACCCGCCUUUUAGUCGUCCACCAUUGAUGUGAUGGAUCUCGCGAUGAGAACUGUGCCGUUUACUUCGACGUCUAGGCUUCCUUACUCGCUCUUCACGCUCCCGCCAAGGUCACCUCCUCCCUCUUCCCUGCUCACUUUCUGGUCCUCUUUUCUGGCGCCGCUCUCUCUGUCUCUCACAACGUGGGCGUGCGCGUGCAUCUGUGCGCAUAUGUGCUCCCCCGCUGCAG
rnacentral:misc_RNA from 1 species